GAUAGAUAAGGGUCAAAUGAAUGUGUUGGUAAUUGAUAUAUGAAUGGUAAGCCAUGUGCUUUCUUAUAAAUUUGUCUCUUUUAUUCAUAAAAUUAUUUUCCUUCAAAUUGGGUUGUGAGGAGAAGCUCCACGUGCUAUAUAUACAUUGAAUCUUACAACUUAAAAGUAUGAACCAAAGUGGUAGUUUUAAUUCUCCCCAUAGAUAGCGCGAAACUAUGUUCAUUUUGCUUCUAAUCCGCAUGCGUUUUGAUGUUUACGUUGGGCUUUAUGCAAUGGAUUUACUAAUUUUAAAUAUAUUGAUUGUCCUACUUUUUUUCUUUGACCAAAAGGCUUUAAUGUUCCUACUUUUGAGAUAAGGAUUCCUUCUAUGUUCUUGCCCCCUCCGUUAUCCCAAAGAUUAGAUAAGUAAAGAGAUGCAAGAUACCUUUCAUAUGUAUAUUUUAGAGCGUAUGAUUGUCAGAGUUCUUGUAU
rnacentral:lncRNA from 1 species